rnacentral:rRNA from 1 species
GCCAGACUCCUACGGGAGGCAGCAGUGGGGAAGAUUGCGCAAUGGGCGAAAGCCUGACGCAGCAACGCCGCGUGAGUGAAGAAGUAUUUCGGUAUGUAAAGCUCUAUCAGCAGGGAAGAAGAAAGACGGUACCUGACUAAGAAGCCCCGGCUAACUACGUGCCAGCAGCCGCGGUAAUACGUAGGGGGCAAGCGUUAUCCGGAUUUACUGGGUGUAAAGGGAGCGUAGGCGGUUUAGCAAGUCAGAAGUGAAAGCCCGGGGCUCAACUCCGGGACUGCUUUUGAAACUGUUGAACUAGAUUGCAGGAGAGGUAAGUGGAAUUCCUAGUGUAGCGGUGAAAUGCGUAGAUAUUAGGAGGAACACCAGUGGCGAAGGCGGCUUACUGGACUGUAAAUGACGCUGAGGCUCGAAAGCGUGGGGAGCAAACAGGAUUAGAUACCCUUGUAUC